GCCCCUGUAUCGCAAUGGAUAGCGCGUUGGACUCCUAAUCCAAAGGUUGUGGAUUCGAAACCCACCUGAGAUG
rnacentral:tRNA from 1 species